GCUGGGCUUGCUGGCGCAGGCCUGUAAUCCCAGCAACUCAGGAAGCUGAGGCAGGAGGAUCAAAAGUUCAGAGCCAGCCUCAG
rnacentral:sRNA from 1 species